GACGGGACCGCACAAGCGGUGGAUGAUGUGGUUUAAUUCGAUGCAACGCGAAAACCUUACCCACCUUUGACAUGUACGGAAUCCUUUAGAGAUAGAGGAGUGCUCGAAAGAGAGCCGUAACACAGGUGCUGCAUGGCUGUCGUCAGCUCGUGUCGUGAGAUGUUGGGUUAAGUCCCGCAACGAGCGCAACCCUUGUCAUUAGUUGCUACAUUCAGUUGGGCACUCUAAUGAGACUGCCGGUGACAAGCCGGAGGAAGGUGGGGAUGACGUCAAGUCCUCAUGGCCCUUAUAGGUGGGGCUACACACGUCAUACAAUGGCUGGUACAAAGGGUUGCCAACCCGCGAGGGGGAGCCAAUCCCAUAAAGCCAGUCGUAGUCCGGAUCGUAGUCUGCAACUCGACUACGUGAAGUCGGAAUCGCUAGUAAUCGUGGAUCAGAAUGUCACGGUGAAUACGUUCCCGGGUCUU
rnacentral:rRNA from 1 species